UGGGGGAUAUUGCGCAAUGGGGGAAACCCUGACGCAGCAACGCCGCGUGAAGGAUGAAGGAUUUCGGUUCGUAAACUUUUGUCUUUGGGGAAGAAUAAAUGACGGUACCCAAGGAGGAAGCCACGGCUAACUACGUGCCAGCAGCCGCGGUAAUACGUAGGUGGCAAGCGUUGUCCGGAUUUACUGGGUGUAAAGGGCGUGUAGGCGGGAUGAUAAGUCAGAUGUGAAAUACCGAGGCUCAACCUCGGGGCUGCAUUUGAAACUAUCAUUCUUGAGUGCAGGAGAGGAAAGUGGAAUUCCUAGUGUAGCGGUGAAAUGCGUAGAUAUUAGGAGGAACACCAGUGGCGAAGGCGACUUUCUGGACUGUAACUGACGCUGAGGCGCGAAAGCGUGGGGAGCAAACA
rnacentral:rRNA from 1 species